ACAAAAUUAGGUAAUUAAUGGAGCUUUAUAACCUCCCCAACCCUAAAAAAUACGUACCAAAUUAGUAAAAAUUUAACGGAGCUUUAUAACCUCCACAAGCCUAAACAAAACGCUACAAUAGCCCGAGGUUUAUAAUCCCAACCCUUUAAAAAAGCACUAAUAUCUCCCAAUUUCCUCUAGAAACUUCCGACCUUCAUUCUCCGUGCUUAGUAGCUAAAAAAAUGUAGAAAUAUUUGCUCUCUUCAUUUCUCCUUCAUUUUCUUCUAUGUCGUGCAAUUCAGAUUUAGCUUUUUGCAUUUUCGGGAGUUGCUGAUCACAGUAAUUUCACUGUUUUAUGCUUUAUCCUGAAGGCAUCAACAGUACAUUGGAAAAGUGAAGAAUGCAGUUUUUCAAACUCAGAAGGCUGGUAGGAAGCGUGUUGUGGUAUCCAUGGAAGAGAGUGUCAUUGUUUCGCUUCACUUCACCAUGGGGAGAUUUUUUGGAGGCAUGCUUUUGGGGACAAUGACACCAUUAUUGCAAUUGAUAUCUCCAUGGGAAAAUAUAAUAGCUUGCUCUGUAUCUGUUACUUUUAUUAUUUCUCUUUAUUUGAAAACAUUGGUAUUGGGAUUUUUGUUUUAAUAGUAUAUGAAUUGCUAAAUACACUGGCUUGCUUGUAUUUCUUUUUUGGGUAUAGUAUUUGCCAUGUCACCAAGUUUUUGCAUGUGUGCUUGAGCAAGCACACACUUAGUUGCAGUUAUAGAAAGCUAUAACUUUUAAACUCCUUUUGUAUCAUGUGGGAAGUGUUCUUUUUUACAAGAUAAAUUGUGAAAUAUGUCAAGUCAUGCCUUAAGAGGUGAUCAAUCUAACCAUUUGAACCAACAUCAAGUGUACGUACACCUCACAACAUCCAACAGUAGAUUUACUUGAAAUAAGCACGGAACAAGUUCUCAAGUAGCACUUGAGUGUCAAGUAGACAUCUCUUCAUUAUAAGAUGGUACUUACGGAAAGAUAAUUUUUUGCCUAAACAAGGCAGUUGUGUUUGUGUUGUCUUAAUUUUCAUUACUUUUCAUUUUCACGUUACUAGAGUUUAGUUUCAUUCACUGUGUCUACUAACUCAGUUUCCUCUACCUUCUCUCACAACAGUCUUUACUUGUAAAGUUUUGAGAUGGUAUUCUUAUUUUUAAGGGGACUGUUGGGUUUAAGAAUAAUUUGGUUCAUAAGAUGAUUCAUUAAAGCUUAGUAUCAACCAUUACAUCAUUGUUUAAAGAUCCUAAAACACUGUCGGUGGCUUGCUCAGGAUAAGUUUGCUGAGGUUUUCUUGUUUCAUUUGGAAAGAGGCUUAAGUUAGAUGGGAUUUGGUUGAGUUUGUUGUGAACCUUUUAAGAGCUUGUGGUUACAAAAUUUUGAGAUAACUAGAAACCUGAAUGCUUUGUUCAUGUACUCAUGUGGAAAAGAGAUGAGUAUUUAUUUGAGUCCAUCCCAAUCUCUCUAUUAGUGCCCUUCUAUUUAGUCCUACUAUUUCAAUUUUUUGGUUAUUAGUUUUGGAGUAACUUAAGAACUAUGGAAACCAUGACAUGAACUUCUGCCUAAGAAUAUAUAUCAAGUUUGAGCAUGAUCUAUGACUUUCAUUGUUGUCAAAAAAUGAUUUGAAAGUAAUAGAAUUGCUGUGCUUUGUUCAAUGUGUCCUAACUAGCAUGUAUAAAAUGUCGUUCAUGAUUGGAUUGGUUAAAUGUUACACCUAGUAGGACUGACAUUAGUCAUAUUAGAACUGACAUUAUCCAAUUUUCCCAAUUCCUUUUUUGCAGCCAAGUGAUGCUGCUAGUGAUCCGCUUUACCCAUGGAUGCAAGAAUCUUCUAGCUCGAGCUGUAUCUUUUCAUUUUGAAAUGAUUUUGUAUUGGUGCUAAUUAGAUCAUUGACAUUUUUUUUGGCGUUCAAUUUGUUAAUAUUUUGUGUGGUUUAGUGGAAUGUUAAUAUUUCUCUAUUUUGAUAUUCAGGUUUAAGUGUUCAAUGUAUUCAGAUUUAUAUUAGAAAAAAAUUCGAAAAA